rnacentral:rRNA from 1 species
UACGUAGGGUGCGAGCGUUGUCCGGAAUUAUUGGGCGUAAAGAGCUCGUAGGCGGCUUGUCGCGUCGGUUGUGAAAGCCCGGGGCUUAACCCCGGGUCUGCAGUCGAUACGGGCAGGCUAGAGUUCGGUAGGGGAGAUCGGAAUUCCUGGUGUAGCGGUGAAAUGCGCAGAUAUCAGGAGGAACACCGGUGGCGAAGGCGGAUCUCUGGGCCGUAACUGACGCUGAGGAGCGAAAGCGUGGGGAGCGAACAGG